rnacentral:rRNA from 1 species
CCUACGGGAGGCAGCAGUAGGGAAUCUUUCACAAUGGGCGAAAGCCUGAUGGAGCAACGCCGCGUGCAGGAUGAAGGCCUUCGGGUUGUAAACUGCUUUUAUAAGCGAGAAAUAUGAUGGUAACUUAUGAAUAAGGAUCGGCUAACUACGUGCCAGCAGCCGCGGUCAUACGUAGGAGCCGAACAUUAUCCGGAGUGACUGGGUGUAAAGAGUUGCGUAGGUGGCAUAAUAAGUAGCUAGUGAAAUCUGGUGGCCAAAACAUUCAGACUAUUAGCUAAACUGUUAAGCUCGAGACCGUUAGGGGUAACUGGAAUUUCUAGUGUAGGAGUGAAAUGCGUAGAUAUUAGAAGGAACACCAAUAGCGUAGGCAGGUUGCUGGGACGGUUCUGACACUAAGGCACGAAAGCGUAGGGAGCAAACGGGAUUAGAUACCCCAGUAGUC